CCUACGGGAGGCAGCAGUGGGGAAUAUUGGGCAAUGGGCGAAAGCCUGACCCAGCGAUGCCGCGUGAGGGAUGAAGGCCUUCGGGUCGUAAACCUCUGUCAGGAGGGACGAUGGGACUUUUGUCUUGACGGUACCUCCAGAGGAAGCCCCGGCUAACUCCGUGCCAGCAGCCGCGGUAAUACGGAGGGGGCAAGCGUUGCUCGGAAUUACUGGGCGUAAAGGGUCCGCAGGCUGUCAGGCAAGUUGGUUGUGAAAGCUCAAGGCUUAACCUUGGAAUUGCAUCCAAAACUGCCUGACUAGAGUCCAAGAGAGGUUGGCGGAAUUCCCGGUGUAGCGGUGAAAUGCAUAGAUAUCGGGAGGAACACCAGAGGCGAAGGCGGCCAACUGGCUUGGUACUGACGCUCAGGGACGAAAGCGUGGGUAGCAAACCGGAUUAGAUACCCGGGUAGUCCACGCCCUAAACGAUGGAUGCUAGGUAGGGGGAAUUUAUUUCUCCCUGCCGUAGUUAACGCAUUAAGCAUCCCGCCUGGGGAGUACGGUCGCAGGGCUGAAACUCAAAGGAAUUGACGG
rnacentral:rRNA from 1 species